UACGUAGGGUGCAAGCGUUAAUCGGAAUUACUGGGCGUAAAGCGUGCGCAGGCGGUUCGCUAAGACAGAUGUGAAAUCCCCGGGCUUAACCUGGGAACUGCAUUUGUGACUGGCGGGCUAGAGUAUGGCAGAGGGGGGUAGAAUUCCACGUGUAGCAGUGAAAUGCGUAGAGAUGUGGAGGAACACCAAUGGCGAAGGCAGCCUUCUGGGCCAACACUGACGCUCAUGCACGAAAGCGUGGGGAGCAAACGGG
rnacentral:rRNA from 1 species